rnacentral:rRNA from 1 species
AUACGUAGGUGGCGAGCGUUGUCCGGGAUUACUGGGCGUAAAGGAUGCGUAGGUGGAUAUUUAAGUGGGAUGUGAAAUCCCCGGGCUCAACCCGGGAACUGCAUUCCAAACUGGGUAUCUAGAGUGCAGGAGAGGAAAGCGGAAUUCCUAGUGUAGCGGUGAAAUGCGUAGAUAUUAGGAGGAACACCAGUGGCGAAGGCGGCUUUCUGGACGGUAACUAACACUGAGGCAAGAAAGCGUGGAUGGCAAACAGGAUUGGAUCCCCUGGUAGGCCACGCCGUAAACGAUGGGUACUAGGUGUAGGAGGUAUCGACCCCUUCUGUGCCGUCGUUAACACAAUAAGUACCCCGCCUGGGGAGUACGGUCGCAAGACUAAAACUCAAAGGAAUUGACGGGG